UGAAUACGAGAUGCUACGGCGUCGAAGCAGUGUAUGUCAGACUUCCAAGAAAAGCUCGCAAUGUCAUAAAUAAAGAAUGCCUGUACCAUAACCGACACAGGUGGGUAGGUAGAGUAUACUAAGGGGCGCGAGAUAACUCUCUCUAAGGAACUCGGCAAAAUAACUCCGUAACUUCGGGAGAAGGAGUGCCUUCUUUAAGAAGGUUGCAAUAACAAGAUCCAAGCAACUGUUUAUCAAAAACACAGGUCUCCGCUAAGUCGUAAGACGAUGUAUGGGGGCUGACGCCUGCCCAGUGCCAGAAGGUUAAAGAAGUUGGUUAGCUUUUGCGAAGCUGAUGACUGAAGCCCUGGUGAACGGCGGCCGUAACUAUAACGGUCCUAAGGUAGCGAAAUUCCUUGUCGGGUAAGUUCCGACCCGCACGAAAGGCGUAAUGAUUUGGAUACUGUCUCGGAGAGGGACUCGGUGAAAUAGACUUGUCUGUGAAGAUGCGGACUACCUGCACCAGGACAGAAAGACCCUAUGAAGCUUUACUGUAACUUGAAAUUGAAAUUGGACUUUAUUUGCGCAGUAUAGGUGGAAGGCGUUGAAAGUAAUCUUGCGGGAUUAGUGGAGCCAUCAGUGAGAUACCACUCCUAUAAUGUUAGAUUUCUAACUUUGGAUCAUGAUCUGGUCAAAGAACAGUUUCAGGCGUGCAGUUUGACUGGGGCGGUCGCCUCCCAAAUGGUAACGGAGGCGUACAAAGGUCUCCUCUGAACGGGUAGAAAUCGUAUCUAGAGUGUAAAGGCAUAAGGAAGCUUGACUGUGAGACCUACAAGUCGAGCAGGGACGAAAGUCGGUCUUAGUGAUCUGACGGUGCUGAGUGGAAAGGCCGUCACUCAACGGAUAAAAGUUACUCUAAGGAUAACAGGCUGAUCUCCCCCAAGAGUUCACAUCGACGGGGAGGUUUGGCACCUCGAUGUCGGCUCAUCGCAUCCUGGGGCGGUAGUACGUCCCAAGGGUUGGGCUGUUCGCCCAAAAGCGGUACGCGAGCUGGGUUCAGAACUUCGUGAGACAGUUCGGUCCAUAUCCGGUGUAGGCGUUAGAAUAUUGAGAGGAGCCUUCUUUAGUACGAGAGGACCGAGAAGGACAUACCUCUGGUGUACCAGUUAUCGUGCCAACGGUAAACGCUGGGUAGCUAUGUAUGGAGAGGAUAACCGCUGAAAGCAUCUAAGUGGGAUGCCCACCUCAAGAUGAG
rnacentral:rRNA from 1 species